rnacentral:rRNA from 1 species
UCAAGUUAUUAAGGGUGCAGGGCGGAUGCCUUGGCACUAGGAGCCGAUGAAGGACGUGAUAAGCUGCGAUAAGCUUCGGGGAGUUGCACGUAAACUUUGAUCCGAAGAUUUCCGAAUGAGGAAACUCACUUAGAGUAAUGUCUAAGUAUCAUUAAGUAAAUACAUAGCUUAAUGAGGGGAACUCAGGGAACUGAAACAUCUAAGUACCUGAAGGAAGAGAAAGAAAUUCGAUUCCGUAAGUAGCGGCGAGCGAACGCGGAUUAGCCCAAACCAAUAAAGUUUUCUUUAUUGGGGUUGCGGACAUAUCAUAACGAAGAGGUAUCGUAAUUGAAGAGGUUUGGAAAGACCCACCACAGAAGGUAAUAGUCCUGUAUUUUAAACGAGAAGACUUCAGAUAUGAUCCAGAGUACCACGGGACACGUGAAACCCUGUGGGAAGCAGGAGGGACCACCCUCCAAGGCUAAAUACUACCUAGUGACCGAUAGCGUAUAGUACCGUGAGGGAAAGGUGAAAAGAACCCCGGGAGGGGAGUGAAAUAGAACCUGAAACCCUGCACUUACAAGCUGUGGAAGCACAUUUCUUGUGUGACCGCGUACUUUUUGUAGAACGGGCCAACGAGUUACGUUAAGUAGCAAGGUUAAGCACUUAAGGUGCGGAGCCGUAGCGAAAGCGAGUUUUAACUGAGCGUUCAGUUACUUGACGUAGACCCGAAACCGGGCGACCUACCCAUGAGCAGGAUGAAGCGAAAGUAAAAUUUCGUGGAGGUCCGAACCCACGAGCGUUGAAAAGCUCGGGGAUGACUUGUGGAUAGCGGUGAAAUUCCAAUCGAGCCCGGAGAUAGCUGGUUCUCCCCGAAAUAGCUUUAGGGCUAGCCUCAAGGUGAGAGAUACGGAGGUAGAGCACUGAAUGUCCUAGGGGGUAUUGCACCUACCGAAGACUAUCAAACUCCGAAUGCCGUCAUCUUAUACUUGGGAGUCAGACUGUGGGUGAUAAGAUUCAUAGUCGAAAGGGCAACAGCCCAGAUCGUCAGCUAAGGUCCCUAAAUGUAAGUUAAGUGGUAAAGGAUGUGGGAUUGCACAGACAACCAGGAUGUUGGCUUAGAAGCAGCCACUCAUUCAAAGAGUGCGUAAUAGCUCACUGGUCGAGUGAUCCUGCGCCGAAGAUUUCCGGGGCUAAAACUUACUACCGAAGCUACGGCAUCAGUAAUGAUGGGUAGGGGAGCUUCCCAUACGGGUUGAAGCGUGACCGUAAGGACAUGUGGACAGUAUGGGAGUGAGAAUGUUGGCAUGAGUAGCGAGAUGUGGGUGAGAAUCCCACAGGCCGUAAACCCAAGGUUUCCAGGGGAAGGUUCGUCCGCCCUGGGUUAGUCGGGACCUAAGCUGAGGCCGAAAGGCGUAGGUGAUGGACAACAGGUUGAUAUUCCUGUACUACCGAUAACCGUUUGAGAGAAGGGAUGACACAGUAGGAUAAGCUAAGCACACUGUUGGUUAUGUGUGCCCAAGCAUUGAGGCAGUCAAAGUAGGCAAAUCCGCUUUGAUAAUGCUGGGAUGUGAUGGGGAGCGAAAUUUAGUAGCGAAGUAGCUGAUUUCACACUGUCAAGAAAAGUCUCUAUCGAGGUUAAAGGUACCCGUACCGCAAACCGACACAGGUGGGUGAGGAGAGUAUCCUAAGGCCAGCGAGAGAACUGUUGUUAAGGAACUCGGCAAAAUGACCCCGUAACUUAGGGAUAAGGGGUGCCACCAUCAGGUGGCCGCAGAGAAUAGGCCCAAGCGACUGUUUACCAAAAACAUAGGUUUCUGCUAAGUCGCAAGACGAUGUAUAGGAGCUGACGCCUGCCCGGUGCUGGAAGGUUAAGGGGAUCUGUUAGAGCAAUCGAAGCAGUGAACUUAAGCCCCAGUAAACGGCGGCCGUAACUAUAACGGUCCUAAGGUAGCGAAAUUCCUUGUCGGGUAAGUUCCGACCCGCACGAAAGGCGUAACGAUUUGGGCACUGUCUCAACAACAGACUCGGUGAAAUUGUAAUUCCGGUGAAGAUGCCGGAUACCUGCGACAGGACGGAAAGACCCCAUGGAGCUUUACUGUAGCUUGACAUUGGGUCUUGGUACUACAUGUACAGGAUAGGUGGGAGGCUUUGAAACCAGGACGCCAGUUUUGGCGGAGCCAUCCUUGGGAUACCACCCUUGUAGUACUGGGACUCUAACCAUAGGCCAUGAAUCUGGUCUUGGGACACUGUCAGGUGGGCAGUUUGACUGGGGCGGUCGCCUCCCAAAAGGUAACGGAGGCGCUCAAAGGUUCUCUCAGUACGGUCGGAAAUCGUACGUAGAGUGUAAAGGCAAAAGAGAGCUUGAUUGCAAGACAUACAGGUCGAGCAAGGAUGAAAAUCGGACUUAGUGAUCCGGUGGUUCUGCGUGGAAGGGCCAUCGCUCAACGGAUAAAAGCUACCCUGGGGAUAACAGGCUUAUCUCCCCCAAGAGUCCACAUCGACGGGGAGGUUUGGCACCUCGAUGUCGGCUCAUCACAUCCUGGGGCUGUAGUAGGUCCCAAGGGUUGGGCUGUUCGCCCAUUAAAGUGGUACGCGAGCUGGGUUCAGAACGUCGUGAGACAGUUCGGUCCCUAUCCGUCGCAGGCGUAGGAAAUUUGAGAAGAUCUGUCCUUAGUACGAGAGGACCGGGAUGGACGUACCUCUGGUGUACCAGUUGUUCUGCCAAGGGCAUGGCUGGGUAGCUAUGUACGGAAUGGAUAAGCGCUGAAAGCAUCUAAGCGCGAAGCCAACUUCAAGAUAAGAUUUCCCACCGCAAGGGUAAGAUCCCAGAAAGACUAUCUGGUUGAUAGGUCGAAGGUGUAAGUGCAGCAAUGUAUUUAGCUUAUCGAUACUAAUAGGUCGAGGACUUGACCAA